GGAAGACUCACAAGGUUGGUGCAAUCUGAAAGAUUCAAACAUUGAAGCCCUCUUAAAUAUUGAAUUGAUGCUGGUAGUUCUUCUAUAGCAGUUCCAUCUAAAUGAAGCUCUCUUAUAUUUUCCACAUCCUCGAGGAUUUCCGGAAAGCUCCUUAAUCGUGAACAGCCUGAGCAGAAGAGAGUUGUAAGGGAUUUCAACUCACAUAUGCUACUGGGAAGAAGCUCAAGGUUUUUGCAUUCUUGCAAACAUAAGCUGUUAAGUUUAGGGGGACACUCAGUAGUGGGUAGUUCAUUGAUGGCAUUUCCCUUUAAACAAAGCUUCCAUCGGGAUUGCACAUCCUCUUGACAUUCCCGCAAACGGUGGAUAUCAUUGCUUUACCAUGGUUCUGUUCAUGAUCAUGGGCAUAUAUAAGAUGGAUCCCACACUCUUCUACUUUCACUGCUUUUACCUCUCAAGGAGCCACAAAAUGAAGCGGUCAACUGCCUCCAUUUAUUUGAGUGGUACUUCUCCUCAAUCACAUGCUUAGGAUAAUAAAUCAUCCACAUAUGUGGUACAACAUAGUCGUGAAAUGAGGGAUAAAACUGGAGUUCAUCCACAUACUGAAUUUCAUGACCACGCAAAGUCAAACCACACUCGAAGUAAGUUGCAUCAUUCUCAGAUUCAUCAUCAAGUGGAUAAUAGACAGAGUACAAAACAAAACCGAACAAAUCGUCAUUUUUAUACCAAUUUUGAGGAAGCUUUGCUACUACUUCAGCUCCCUUUUUGUGAUGGCUUAUCCAUUUUGGAAUUCCACUACUUUCUGAAAUAAUAAGAUUUACUUGGGCAAAAAGUUUUUUUGUAAGAUAAAUCUCGCAUUCCAAAUCCUGCAGAAAAUUUAAUUAACACGUAAAUCCCCAUGUCUCCACAAAAAAAGUUUUGUUCUAUGAAUAUCAUACCUGAAUCAAUGAUUUGAAGCAGUUGAAUAGAGAAGACCAGAGUAGACCUGAAGAAGUUUCCAGCUGUUUGCACCGAUGUACCUCUAAGUCAAGCAAACUGGAUGGAAGCGCUGGAAUUUGUCGAAGCUCUAGACAGUUACCCAAGACAAGGAGUCUCAGCCUAGAAAGUUGAUUGAUCCCAGCAGGUAUGCUCCUAAAAAGAUUCCCGAUUAGAAAUAAUUCCUGCAGAGAUGAUAGCUGGCAAAUUUCAGUGGGGAUUCCUCCUUUAUCUAUGCUGCAGAAAGAUAGAUCUAACACUUCCAAGGAGUACAAGCAGCAAAUAUCACUCAGGACUAGUCCUUGCAUUAGCUUUGAGUAAAAUAGAUCUAACUCCUUUAAGGAGCAUAAACCUGACAAAGAAAGCAAUUGGCAACAUGUUGAAUUUAAGCCACAAGCACGGAGACGCUUCAAGCUUUGCAGCCUCGCCAGGUUUUGUGGCAAUUUGUGGAGUUUUGAACAGUAACUGACAUCGAGAUCUUCAAGAAAGUGUAAAUUACAAAUGCUUUCUGGAAGAGUCACAAGGUUUUGGCAGCUGUCCAGAUUCAAAACUUGAAGCCUAUUCAAAUGUUCGAUUGAAGAUGGUAGCUCUUUUAUAGCCUUUCCAUUCAAGUGAAGCUGCCUUAAGUUUUCCAUAUUCUCCAAGAUUUCUGGGAAGUACUGUAAUUGUGAACACUCAGAGCAAAAGAGAGAUUUUAGGGAUUUGAACUCCCAAAUGCUUGUUGGUAGACUCUCAAGGUUUUUGCACUCUCGCAAACAUAAGGUAUCAAAUUCAGAGGCACACUCAAUGGGUAGUAGGCUGAUUGUCUGACCCUUUAAACAAAGCUUUCGGUGUUCCACGUUCCUCUGACAUUCCAAGCAGCUAGCAUCCACAUCCUCAGUCUGUACUAUUGGAUCUUGGGCGUAUAUAGGUUGAAGCCCACACUUGACCACCUUAAAGUGAUUGCGAGAGCCCAUAAAUAGAGCCCCAAGAAACAUGGAUGGAUUGGUGUGACAGCUCUCCAGAAUAGCAGCCUUGGGAUAGAAUAUCACCCACAUUUGUUCUGAU
rnacentral:lncRNA from 1 species